rnacentral:rRNA from 1 species
AACGAACGCUGGCGGCAUGCCUAACACAUGCAAGUCGAACGACACCUUCGUGUCUAUUUGCUCUCGGGUGCGUCACGCGUCGGAACCUUCCCUUAUGUUCCGAAUACCUCCCCUUCAGGGGUGCUAAUACCGGAUAAUUUCUUCUGACCACAGAUUUAUCGACUUUGGAUGGGCCCGCGUUGGAUUAGCUAGUUGGUAUGGUAAAAGCCUACCAAGGCGACGAUCCAUAGCUGGUUAGAGAGGAUGAUGAGCCACACUGGGACUGAGACACGGCCCAGAAUGCUAGGGGAGGGAGCAGUGGGGAAAAAUGGACAAUGGGCGAAAGAGAGAAAGAGCAAUGGGGGGUAAGUGAUGAAGGGGGUAGAGUAAAAAAGGUAGUUUAACAGGGAGGAGAAUGACAGUAACGGGAGAAUAAGCAACGGCUAAAUCCGUG